CCUACGGGUGGCAGCAGUGAGGAAUAUUGGUCAAUGGACGAGAGUCUGAACCAGCCAAGUAGCGUGAAGGAUGACUGCCCUAUGGGUUGUAAACUUCUUUUAUAAAGGAAUAAAACGAGCCACGUGUUCCUUUCUGCAUGUACUUUCUGAAUAAGGACGGGUUAACUCCGUCCCGGCACCCGCGGUAAUACGGAGGAGCCGAGCGUUAUCCGGUUUUAUUGGGUUUAAAGGGAGCGUAGAUGGGUGGUUAAGUCGGUUGUGAAAGUUUGCGGUCCAACCGUAAAAUUGCAAUUGAUACUGGCAGUCUGGAGUGCAGUUGAGGUAGGCGGAAUUCGUGGUGUAGCGGUGAAAUGCUUAGAUAUCACGAAGAACCCCGAUUGCGAAGGCAGCUUACUAAACUGUGACUGACAUUGAUGCUCGAAAGUGUGGGUAUCAAACAGGAUUAGAUACCCUGGUAGUC
rnacentral:rRNA from 1 species